GACGAACGCUGGCGGCGUGUCUAAUACAUGCAAGUCGAACGAAGCUGUUUUAACUGGUGCUUGCACCGACUUAAACAACUGAGUGGCGAACGGGUGAGUAACACGUGGGUAACCUGCCCCAAAGCGGGGGAUAACAUUUGGAAACAGAUGCUAAUACCGCAUAACCACAGAAACCACAUGGUUUCUGUGUCAAAGAUGGUUUCGGCUAUCACUUUGGGAUGGACCCGCGGCGUAUUAGCUAGUUGGUAAGGUAAUGGCUUACCAAGGCAAUGAUACGUAGCCGAACUGAGAGGUUGAUCGGCCACAUUGGGACUGAGACACGGCCAAAACUCCUACGGGAGGCAGCAGUAGGGAAUCUUCCACAAUGGACGAAAGUCUGAUGGAGCAACGCCGCGUGAGUGAAGAAGGUUUUCGGAUCGUAAAACUCUGUUGUCAGAGAAGAACGUGUGCGAGAGUAACUGCUCGUGCAGUGACGGUAUCUGGCCAGAAAGCCACGGCUAACUACGUGCCAGCAGCCGCCGUAA
rnacentral:rRNA from 1 species